GAUGAACGCUGGCGGCGUGCCUAAUACAUGCAAGUCGAACGGACGACUUCGGUCGUUAGUGGCGAACGGGUGAGUAACGCGUUGGUGACCUGCCCCGAAGCGAGGGAUAACAGUCCGAAAGGGCUGCUAAUACCGCAUAAUUUAGUGGGAGAUUAGAAACCUGCUAAGAAAGCCGAAAGGCGCUAUGGGAGGGGCCUGCGUCCCAUCAGCUAGUUGGUAAGGUAACGGCUUACCAAGGCGAUGACGGGUAGGGGACCUGAGAGGGUGGCCCCCCACAAUGGAACUGAAACACGGUCCAUACACCUACGGGUGGCAG
rnacentral:rRNA from 1 species